rnacentral:pre_miRNA from 1 species
UCUUCGUUUCGCACACUCUCUCACCGGUCAGAGUGGCUAGAGAGUGUGCAAAAUGAAGAGA